UGAAUACGAGAUGCUACGGCGUCGAAGCAGUGUAUGUCAGACUUCCAAGAAAAGCUCGCAAUGUCAUAAAUAAAGAAUGCCUGUACCAUAACCGACACAGGUGGGUAGGUAGAGUAUACUAAGGGGCGCGAGAUAACUCUCUCUAAGGAACUCGGCAAAAUAACUCCGUAACUUCGGGAGAAGGAGUGCCUUCUUGAAGAAGGUUGCAAUAACAAGAUCCAAGCAACUGUUUAUCAAAAACACAGGUCUCCGCUAAGUCGAAAGACGAUGUAUGGGGGCUGACGCCUGCCCAGUGCCAGAAGGUUAAAGAAGCUGGUUAGCAAUAGCGAAGCUGGUGACUGAAGCCCUGGUGAACGGCGGCCGUAACAAUAACGGUCCUAAGGUAGCGAAAUUCCUUGUCGGGUAAGUUCCGACCCGCACGAAAGGCGUAAUGAUUUGGAUACUGUCUCGGAGAGGGACUCGGUGAAAUAGACUUGUCUGUGAAGAUGCGGACUACCUGCACCAGGACAGAAAGACCCUAUGAAGCUUUACUGUAACUUGAAAUUGAAAUUGGACUUUAUUUGCGCAGUAUAGGUGGAAGGCGUUGAGAUUACUCUUGCGGGAUUAGUGGAGCCAUCAGUGAGAUACCACUCCUAUAAUGUUAGAUUUCUAACUUUGGAUCAUAAUCUGGUCAAAGAACAGUUUCAGGCGGGCAGUUUGACUGGGGCGGUCGCCUCCCAAAUGGUAACGGAGGCGUACAAAGGUUUCCUCUGAACGGGUAGAAAUCGUAUCUAGAGUGUAAAGGCAUAAGGAAGCUUGACUGUGAGACCUACAAGUCGAGCAGGGACGAAAGUCGGUCUUAGUGAUCUGACGGUGCUGAGUGGAAAGGCCGUCACUCAACGGAUAAAAGUUACUCUAAGGAUAACAGGCUGAUCUCCCCCAAGAGUUCACAUCGACGGGGAGGUUUGGCACCUCGAUGUCGGCUCAUCGCAUCCUGGGGCGGUAGUACGUCCCAAGGGUUGGGCUGUUCGCCCAUGAAAGCGGUACGCGAGCUGGGUUCAGAACGUCGUGAGACAGUUCGGUCCAUAUCCGGUGUAGGCGUUAGAAUAUUGAGAGGAGCCUUCUUUAGUACGAGAGGACCGAGAAGGACAUACCUCUGGUGUACCAGUUAUCGUGCCAACGGUAAACGCUGGGUAGCUAUGUAUGGAGAGGAUAACCGCUGAAAGCAUCUAAGUGGGAAGCCCACCUCAAGAUGAGUAUUCCC
rnacentral:rRNA from 1 species